ACGAACCCAGAAAUCAAACCCAAAUCCCACGUCAAAAAUAACUCAGCUCCAAACCAACCCAACCCCCAACCCGUUUUUUUUCAUCUUCGUCAAUCGCCCCACGCAGAUAUGGAAAAGAUGUCGAGAAUUCUCUAGAAGCGCUUAGGUGUCUCUCUAACGGUUUGAUUCCGCAAAUCUCGGGUGAAAGGUACGAUUACAGCUGGUCCUAAUCCCUUUUAUGAAAAUUUAAAAUUAUUCCCUUCCAAAAAGGUUUCAAAAAGAGGGCCUCUUGAAUCAUUCUCCCACAGGGGGAUUAGUUAGAAUUUUCCUCCAAUCUGGUUCUAUAGGAGGAGCUCAUUUUGAAAAAAAAAAAAAGAGCCUGAGAGUCCAAAAGAGGAAAAAGCUUUCUUGAGCAAAUCAGUAAAAUCUUUCCUUUUGGUUAAAAGUUUUAUUUUCGUAAAAGUCGCCGAUUAAUUGGCAUUUUCGAGUAAACGACUAUGAUGUUCUGUGAUGGUUGUGGGUCCGACUAUAGCUCGAGGUUCCAUUUUGCUGCCCCAAAAAUAGAUUUGGAGAGUCGAGAUUUCAUUGGUGAUUAUCGAGGUUCUUGGAGCGGCUCUUAUUUCACUUAUUAAAAUCAAUCGAAAGAUCUUGAGGUCCAUCUCUUUACUCCCGUACUUUCUUCUUUAUUCUAUUUUGUUGAAAUGGCUAUGAUUGUGUGUUAGGUGAUUGUAAUUGUUUGAUGUUGUUGAUGUUAUGAUCACAUGCUUGGUGAUGUGACUCCGGUGGUAUGAUGUAAGAAUUUGAUUAGUUUUAAUGGUGCAAUUGAUUAAAAGGAAUUUUGGGGAUGAGAAUCGAAAGUUGAUAAAAGUAAAUAUUAUGAUAUUUUUGAUACAUUAUUGAUGUUGAAUGCGGUAUGUUGUCGAGCGGGUAGGGAAACAGUAAGCUCGGGUAGGCAAGUUUAGGAUUGGUGUAAUGUGGGAAUGAUUGGAAUAUUUGUUGAAUGUUUUGUUUAUCGUAUUUUGAAAGUGUAUUUAUUUAACCGGGGAAUGCCCCGAGGUAAUUUGUAUUUACUCACCGGGGAAUGGCCCGAAGAAUUUUGUAUGCUAAGGAUGAUCGUGAUCAAGGCCCGAGGCAUCGGGUAAAGCAUGGUUUAGGACUAGUGUAGGUUAUUUCAGUAUUUUUAUUUCGGGUUGUAAUAAUUGGACUGAACUUUACAUUUUUGUCUUGUUUUGUUAUUGUUUGAUUAUUUUGCGUGCUUUGUGUGGUUUAUGCAUUUGUAACGUCAAUUUAGCUGAUACGCUCUACCAAGAGAUCGUGGUCAAACCACGGGAUCGAGGGGUGCCGGAAUUCCUUAGCCGGAAUCUCUGUUCGCAAACCAGUUUAAGGAGUCAAAUGGUUUUGGAAAGGAUUUUCUAAUGGUGACUUGACAUACCGGAUUAUGCCAAGUGGCGACUCUGAAUAAACAAUAUAAAUAGUCCUUUUUUGAAACAAAAUUGUUUGCACUUUUGUGUGUUUUUUCGUGCUCUUUGUUUAUAGUAUUUAUCUUAUGUGUUACCGCUUUAUAUCUGGCAUCAUAAGUCCAUCCCCCGGCCUUCUUUCCGCAACAAGUCCGUAGUGCACGUAUUGUACACAACCUCUAAUUGAGCCACCCUUAUUUUAGGAGGGGAGCCAUCGGUGUUAUGGAGUAGGUGGAAAGCAAAGCAGCCACUAUCGACCAUACGCUCCCCCGAACAGCCUUGUUAGUAAACCACAACGUAGGUCAGCCUUUAGGUCAUGCUUAUGUGCAUCAUACGGAGACCUCCCGCGACCCACAUGGCCCUUUGUAGGAGACUCCCCUCUAAAGCAUCCCUACGUGCUAACUGUUGCAUUUUUAAGGGUAACGUGGUCAUUUGACGGACUGAUUUUUGAAAAAAAAAUAAAAAAAAAUUAAAUUAUUAGGAGUAAGGUGCGUAGGCAAAACGAAAAAAAAAUAAUAUAGAAAAAGUGAGUCGAAAAGAAUGAAAAAAGAAAAAAAAAAGAAUGUCGUAGUUUAUUUUAGAAUUCUUGAUGACUUUUGUUCUUCACAAUCCAAAAACUCAAAAAGAUUCUUUUUACGUUUUGCAUUUGUCUUCUCAAAAUACCGUAAAAGCAAAAAAAAAAAAGUUUGUUUGCCUUUUCUACUUAUUUGUCAAAAAAAAAAAAAAAAACCAAAAAAAUUUUUUUUCCUUCAUAAUUGGUGGUGUCAGUCUUAGCUGAAAAUCCAAAAGUUUUUUUUUUUUCGUGUGUUUUUGGUAGUGUCUCCUAAGUUAGGGUCAAUUUAUUAGUUAAUCGUUAAUUGUCCAAUCUGGAUGAACUACGCACCCCUGAUUCUUCUCUUUCGUGAGUGAGAUACGUAGGCAGCCUAUUGUUGGUUCGGUGAUCUUAUUUAAAAAAUCCAAAAAAAAUAAAAAAAAAAUAAUUUCUUCACUUUUCAUCUAGAGUAGGUGUUUCAUACAUGUCUUGAAAAUAAAAAUACAAAAAAAAAAAUCCUUAAUAGUCGUAGGUUUUAGUUUUGGUUGAUCUUAUUAAAAAAAUUUCAAAAACAAAAAAUAUUUCUUCACUCUUUAUUUAGAGUAGGCGUUUCAUAUAUAUCUUUAAAAGAAAACUACAAAAAGAUUUUUCUUUAAUAGGUUCAAGUUCCAUUUUCAUACUAAAAAAUCAAAAAAAAAAUAAAAAAUCUUGGGUAAUCAUAGAUUUCACUUUGUAUAGGGAUGUUAAAGCUCAAAAAUUCAAAAAAAAUUUCGUCAAUUCUUUUGACAAAUUGUUAUUUUCUUUUCUUCUUAAAGUUUCGAGAAAAAAAAAAGAAAAGAGUUCAAUUAGCCAUCUUGGCACGACUGCCCGAACUACGCAAGAUCUGAUUCAUGUACAACAUGAUACGUAGGCAACCUACUUUUGGGUUCGAUCUAAUCAUUUUGUUUCGUUGUUUUUCAUUAUUUUUCCUCUUUUAAAGAAAACAAAAGUCAUAAAGAAUGAUAAAAUAAAGGUAGAUAACGGAAGAAAAGAAAAGAACAGAGAUAGAUACAAAAAAAUAAUGAUAAUAAGGAGCGUAGAAGAUAAAAAGGUGUAGACAAAAAUCAGGAUGAUGUUAAAAUGACCUCGCUACCCUCAAAAGCUGGUAGAAAUGAACAUGAAUUUAGGACAAUCUUACCAAUGUGAUUCCCAUGUUUGGUGUGUGCCCUAAUCCUAACGGAUGUUGUCUUUGAUGAGCAUGUUCUUUUAGACAACAGUGGUAGGUUUGCAGCACUCUGGCUAGUCACCCAUACUUCACCAGAUCCAAACCAAAGCUCGCCAUGGCUAGCAGGGAGAUUGAAAAUUCGCUCAUUGACCCGGAUCAGGAUCACAGGAAAGAAAGUUCUGAACACAAUCUGCUCUCUCAAGCGCAAUUCUCUGCUCCUACUGAGUCACCUGAGCACGCGCCGGGAUUCACUCCGCGACAUUAUUAUCCUGGCAGUUCUGGUGUGCCCUUGGCAGCUCCCCAAUCAAGGCCCGCUGCUCAGCCAGUGCCACCGAUCACGUCGGUAUUUGUGGCUCCGCCACCACAUAAAACUCCUAUAUAUGCUAUGCGUCCCACAAUGAGGCUUCCUAGAUCUGCCAGUGAGCCAGUACUGAAGGUUUCAGAUAGUCAGUAUUACGCCCCGGAGCCUACUUUUCAAAUGAACGAACCAUAUGGGUACACUCAGCCGCCUGCAUUUCCAUUUGAUAUGGAGAAACCUGUCGCAGCAGAGGGACAGGAUAUCAUAGCCCGGAAAUUGAAAAGUUUAGAGCAGGCAAUAAGGAAUUUGCAAGGAAUCAGAGAUUAUAGGAGUGUUUCCUAUAAAGAUCUUUGUAUGUUCCCAGACAUCAAUCUUCCCCCCGGUUUUAAGAUGCCUAAGUUUGAGAAGUAUGCAGGACAAGGCGAUCCUGUGGCACACUUAAGACGUUAUUGCAACCAGUUGAGGGCUGCAGGAGGAAAGGAAGAAUUGCUCAUGGCCUUCUUUGGCGAGAGUCUUUCAGAUCUGGCCUCAGAAUGAUUUAUCGAUCGAGAUAUCGAUAAAUGGAACAACUGGGAUGAUUUGGCUUCUGGAUUUGUUCAAAAUUUUCAGUACAACAUCGACUUGAUUCUGGACAAAAAGUCCUUGGUCAACAUAAAUAAAAAAAGCAUUGAAGGUUUUAGGGAAUAUGCGAUAAGGUGGCGUGAACAGGCCGCCAGGGUAAAGCCUCCAAUGAAAGAAAGUAAGUUGGUAGAAGUUUUCAUUCAGGCGCAGGAUNNNNNNNNNNNNNNUUACUUCUGGCAAUGGGAAAGUCUUUUAUGGAAGUCCUCAAAAUGGGGGAGAUGAUAGAGGACGGAAUUAAGACCGGCCGAAUAAUGAGUUUUGCCGCAUUAAAAGCUACCACACAAGCGAUUCAAGGUGGAUCUGGCGCAUUUGGAGGUAAAAAGAAGAAAAAGGAUGUAGAGACUGUCGUAGCUGGAACCCAUUCUUAUCCUAAAAGACCACCUCGCCCCUAUCCCCAAUCCCAAGCCCAAGUCUACGCCCAAGCUCCAUAUAUUUCUCCCCACCAUUACUACCCUCCAUAAAACCCUUUAUAUUCCAUUCCACCACCACCGUACCCAGUAUAUAGCACACAGCCAUAUGCCCAAACCCCUUCUUACCUGCAAUGGCGCGCGCAAGCUCUACAAAAAUUACCCAUUCGCUCCACCAAAUUACCAAAACCCCUCCAAACCUAGUUUUUAGCCUAGGCCUGAGAAUAAGAAGGAGAAGGCGGUCAAAAAUCAAUUCACACCUCUUGGGGAGUCAUAUGCUAGCUUGUUUGAUAGGUUGAGAAAGUUGAAGGUUUUAAGCUCAAUUCAAGGAAGGCUUUCAAAUCCACCAUCGAGGAAUCUCGAUUAUUCUUUAAGGUGUGCAUACUGUUCUGAUAUGCCAGGCCAUGAUAUCAAGAAAUGCUGGCAUUUAAAGAGAGUUGUCAAAGAUUUAAUUGACACAAAUCAGAUGCUGGUCCAGGCCUUGGAGGGUCCAAACAUUAACCAGAAUCCACUGCCAACCCAUGCUGNNNNNNNNNNNNNNNNNNNNNNNNNNNNNNNNNNNNNNNNNNNNNNGGUUAUAAGCCUAUUGUCAAGAUACAGACCAUUGAGGAGAAAUCGGUGAAUGUAGCGGAGUCUUUGAAAGUAUUGUCAUUGAAUCGGAAAGGAAUGAGAGAAGAUAAAGCCUGAGAAAGUACAAAGAAACCCCUGAUCACAGUACAAUGUGCCAGAAGGUAUGUUGAUUUAAGUCAGGAUAAACCUACGUUGACGGUGGUGGGAGCUCUAAGUCAGCCCAUCUUGAUGGUGAAAGGAGCACUGGCAGCUCCUAUUGUCCUCAAACCAGUGACCCAACCUCCGAUAGUUGAUACGAAAAGAGUUCCAUAGAAUUAUGGGCGGACUGUGAUGACCUAUCAUGAGAAAGAAGUUGUGGAAAAUAUAGAUAAGGUAGGGGGUUUGACUAGGUCAGGAAGAUGCUUCGUGCUUGAAAGCUUAAGAAAGUCCAAGCCAACGGUGAGUGGACCAUCAUCUAUCAAAAAGCCUAUCACUGAAGAAGAAGCCAAAAUUUUUUUGAAAAAGAUGAAAUUGCCAGAGUAUUCAAUAUUAGACCAGUUGAAGAAGACUCCUGCUCAAAUUUCCCUUUUAUCUUUGCUGUUGCACUCCAAGGAGCAUCGUGAUAUUUUACUGAAGGUAUUAAAUGAAGCAUAUAUUCCAAGGGAGAUUACAAUCAACCAGCUUGAGAAGAUGGUUGGAAAAAUCUUUGAGGUCAAUCGGAUUAGCUUUUCUGAUGAUGAGUUGCCUGUUGAAGGUACAGGGCAUAACCGGGGCCUUUAUAUUAUAGUGAAGUGUGAAGAUUUCUACGUCACUCAUGUUAUGAUUGAUGAAGGUUUAGGUGCAAAUAUUUUCCCUAUUUCUACUUUGCAAAAGUUAAAUAUUGGUGCUGACAGGAUCAGGCCCAACAAUGUAUGUGUUAGGGCUUUCGAUGGUGCAAAAUCAAAUUCCAUUGGCGAAAUAGAACUAAUGUUGACCAUAGGUCCUGUUGAGUUCGCCAUAGAGUUUCAAGUAUUGAAUGUAGACUCCUUUUACAAUAUGUUGCUGGGAAAGCCGUGGAUUCACAAGGCCAAGACAGUUGCAUCUACACUGCAUCAAAUGAUUAAGUUUGAGCAUAACAGGCAAGAAGUAGUUAUUCAUGGUGAAGGAGAUUUGUCAGCCUACGAAGAUUCUCCCUUGUCUCUUAUUGAAGCAAAUAAUGUAGAGAGACAUUCGUCUAUCAAAUUUUUGAUACAGUGCCAGUGAAUCAUAUCCUUGAAUGGCAGGCUAUAUCGGGACCGCAAUUGUCUUCUGCUUCUAUCUGAUAGUGAGUGAACUUCAGAAAUACGGAUUUGAGCCAGGAAAGGGUUUGGGAACAUCUCUGUACGGUAUAGUUCAUCCCAUAUGUACGAGUGAGAACGCGGGCACGUUUGGUCUGGGAUUUAAGCCUACAGCUGAAGAUCUGAAGAAAGCCAAGGGAAGUAGAAAGGAAAUAUGGUCACUCCCUCGCCUAAUGCCACUACUCAGUGAAUCAUUUGUUAAGAGUAGUGUCAUGAAGCAUGUGGAAUUUGAGGUUGAAUUGGUUGAUGACUUCCAUAACCUUUGUAUUAAAGUUGAUAUGGUCGAAGCAGGAGAAGGUACCAGUGUGGCAGACAUGCAAUUCAUAGGUCCAGCUGUCCGGCUCAAUAAUUGGGAAGUCACUCCUCUCCCCGUCAGAAGGGAGUUUUGGUAGUUUAUUUUGUUUUUCUUUUUGUUUAUUCGAGUUAUUUCAGGAUUGUAAUUUGGAUUUUAGUUUGUUUAUGUUAUUUUGGUAUCUAUGUUUAAACCCUUCUAUCUUUUAUUUAAUGAAAUGCAAUGUCUCUUUUGUUUCGUGUCUAAUAUAUUUUGUUUUUCUUUUCUUACACAGUUCUCUUUUUGCUGAUUCUAAUGACAUGACAUGCAUGUGGAAUUUUCAGCCUGAUCUUAAAAUCCAAACUAAUCAAGAUGUAAUAAAGCAGGAUGGGGGAUAUGAUGAAGAAGAAGCACUAGAAGAAAUAAGCAAAGAGUGGGAACAGUUUGAAGACAAACCGAAUCCUAAUUUGAAAGAGACUAAGCCAAUAAAUCUAAGGGAUCAAGAAGAUGUUAGGGAAACUAAAAUCAGUAUACAUGCUUUGCCACAGCUAAAAGAUGGAAUGAUUCAAGCAUUAAUUGAUUACAAGGAUGUUUUUGCAUGGUCUUAUGAUGAUAUGCCUGUUUUAAGCACUGAAUUAGUGGCUAACAAAUUGCCAACUGAUCCCGCGUUCCCUCCUGUUGAGUUGCACACAAUGGCCGCUCCAUGGCCGUUUGUGGCUUAGGGAAUGGAUAUGAUUGGACCGAUUGAGCCGAAGGCAUCAAAUGGACAUAGGUUCAUUUUGGUAGCCAUUGACUACUUCACAAAGUGGGUAGAAGCAGUAACUUUCAAGUCAGUGACAAAGAAAGCUGUGGUAGCUUUUGUUCAUGCCAAUAUCAUUUGUAGAUUUGGAAUUCCCAAAAUGAUCAUUACAGACAAUGCUGCCAAUCUCAAUAGUCAUUUGAUGCAAGAAGUAUGUCAACAGUUUAAGAUCGCGCAUCAAAAUUCUACUCCAUAUCGCCCAAAGGCCAAUGGUGCUGUAGAAGCCGCCAAUAGGAAUAUAAAAAAGAUACUGCGAAAAACGGUACAAGGGUCUAGAUAGUUGCAUGAAAAGUUGUCGUUUGCAUUGCUAGGUUAUCGCACCACUGUUCGCACUUCAACAGGGGCAACUCCAUAUUUAUUGGUGUAUGGGACAGAAGCAGUCAUCCCUGAAGAAGUUGAAAUUCCCUUUCUUUGAGUCAUGGUAAAAGCAGAGAUUGAUGAUGACGAAUGGGUAAAAACUCGACUGGAACAUUUGAGUUUGAUUGAGGAAAAAAGUCUAACUUCUGUGUGUCAUGGCCAGUUGUAUCUGAGGAGGAUGGCUCAAGCAUAUAACAAAAAGGUCUAUCCCAAGAAUUUUGAAGUUCGUCAGUUGGUAGUGAGACGUAUCCUUCCUCACCAGGUUGAAGCGAAAAGCAAAUUCUCCCCUAACUGGCAAGGACCCUUUGUUGUGAAGAAAGUAUUGCCCAAUGGAGCCUUAUAUUUGACAGAUAUUGAAGGCGAAAUGACAGAAAUGACUAUCAAUGCUGAUAUAGUCAAAAGAUACUAUGUAUGAUAUUUGAUCCUUUAUUGAUUUUAUUGCAUGUUUAGUACUUGAAUUUUUGAAGAUUGGGAUGAUGAAGGCAUUUUAUUCUUCUAUCCAAACAUUGUGUCAUCCCUUGUUUACCCGUUUGAGCUUCAUUUUAUUUUAUUUUAUAUCCCUCUUUUGGAAUCAAAAUAGAGUCAAAGAUAAAUAUCAAGAAAAUAAAAAUAAAAGAAAGAGUUCGGAAAUAAAAGAAAAAAUCAAAUCAAAACAAAGAACAAACUGAUGGAACUACGUCCGACCUGAUUCUCCUCUCUUAAGAGUGAGAUACGUAGGCUUGCCUAGUUCAGGCUCAGUCCAACCAAAUAAAGAUUUAAGAUUCACCCAGUUAACAAAACUGGGGCAUGAGUUAAUGUGUUGUUUGGGUCAAUUCCAAAAGUUGUAAGUCCCACCCCCACUUCAAGUAUCGUUUGAGCCCCUUACCAUCUUUUCUAACCUUAACCAAAAGCCAAGUUACAACCAAAGAAAGUCCUUCAGAUCAAUUUUUGAUAAUGUUAAGGCUAAGCAUGCAAUGGACAUGAUGAUACAUUGUGAAGUACCGCUUGUCUCCCUCAGCAUAAGAAAUCAGGAAAGAAAUACAAAAAAUGAGAGAGUCUUAUUGGUGAAAACCCCCGUGGGCAUCAUAAGCCGAUAGUGAAUUGAGAGAAAUGAAAAUGAGAGAGUCUUAUUGGUGAAAACCUUUGCAGGCAUCAUAAGGCGAUGGUGAGUUGAGAGAAAUGAAAAUGAGAGAGUCUUACUGGUGAAAACCUUUGCAGGCAUCAUAAGGCGAUGGUGAGUUGAGAGAAAUGAAAAUGAGAGAGUCUUAUUGGUGAAAACCCCCACGGGCACUGUAAGGCAAUGGAGAGUUCAAGAGAAAAGUGAAAAGUGAGAAGAAAGAGAUUUAUUGGCGAAAGUCUUUUAAGAUGUUGUUAAUCGAAUGUGAUGUAUGAGUCCAAUGGAUUUAAAGAAGUGGCUCAGCGGAAAAGGGUACGAACUCAACAACAAAUGGGGAGUUUGGAUAGGAAGAUCGGGCAGCUCAAUCCAAAAUGCAUGUCAUACUCAUUGGAGUUGGUUGUUGUAUUCAGAUAAGUUUUCUUUUUGAAUAUGGGACAUUGCCCUUUUCUNNNNNNNNNNNNNNNNNNNNNNNNNNNNNNNNNNNNNNNNNNNNNNNNNNNNNNNNNNNNNNNNNNNNNNNNNNNNNNNNNNNNNNNNNNNNNNNNNNNNNNNNNNNNNNNNNNNNNNNNNNNNNNNNNNNNNNNNNNNNNNNNNNNNNNNNNNNNNNNNNNNNNNNNNNNNNNNNNNNNNNNNNNNNNNNNNNNNNNNNNNNNNNNNNNNNNNNNNNNNNNNNNNNNNNNNNNNNNNNNNCAUUUUAAGUCAAGUCUGUGUCAAAACAAGCGAGAAAGGAUUUAAAAUUUACUACCAGUCUUUCCAAUUAUAUGAGAAAAAGCCAAGGAACAACACAAGAAAGAAAUAUGAUCGUAAUUCAACACGAAGCAAAGGAAGUCUAUCAACCGACAAACUAUUGGAUUCGUGGAAGCAUUCAGAUUUGGGAAAAGAGUGCACCUCAGGGGCAUGGUAAAAUGGAAACCCAUUGUUUGAGUCAGAACUCAUUUCCCUCAAUCUGGAUCCAGGUCAAUGAUGCGGCAAGACAGGGCAAGUGUUGGCAAUUUGGAACAAAGAUGAAAGGAAUGAGUGCUGGGCGGAUACCUUAGAAGCCAAGAUCUGUAAGCCACCACUAAGUUUUUAACUGACAAAUUUUCUUUGUUGAAAUAGGGGCAAAUUCAUUUCACUUGAUUCAGCUACCAAUGGAAAUGCACAUCCGUGAGGUUUUACUUUCUGUUCAGGACCCUCCUGAAAAAUGAGAUUUUACUUUCUGCUCAGGAUCCUCCUGAAAAAUGGAAUUUACUUUCAGUUCAGGACCCUCCUGAAGAAUGGGAUUUUACUUUCUAUUCAGGACCCUCCUGAAGAAUGGGAUUUUACUUUCUAUUCAGGACCCUCCUGAAGAAUGGGAUUUUACUUUCUAUUCAGGACCCUCCUGAAGAAUGGGAUUUUACUUUCUAUUCAGGACCCUCCUGAAGAAUGGGAUUUUACUUUCUAUUCAGGACCCUCCUGAAGAAUGGGAUUUUACUUUCUAUUCAGGACCCUCCUGAAGAAUGGGAUUUUACUUUCUAUUCAGGACCCUCCUGAAGAAUGGGAUUUUACUUUCUAUUCAGGACCCUCCUGAAGAAUGGGAUUUUACUUUCUAUUCAGGACCCUCCUGAAGAAUGGGAUUUUACUUUCUAUUCAGGACCCUCCUGAAGAAUGGGAUUUUACUUUCUAUUCAGGACCCUCCUGAAGAAUGGGAUUUUACUUUCUAUUCAGGACCCUCCUGAAGAAUGGGAUUUUACUUUCUAUUCAGGACCCUCCUGAAGAAUGGGAUUUUACUUUCUAUUCAGGACCCUCCUGAAGAAUGGGAUUUUACUUUCAGUUCAGGACCCUCCUGAAAAUGGAAUUUUACUUUAUGUUCAGGUCCCUCCUGGAAAAUGGGAAUUUACCUUCUGUUCAGGACCCUCCUGAAAAAUGAGAUUUUACUUUCUUGUCAGGACCCUCCUGAAGAAUGGGAUUUUACUUUCUGCUCAGGAUCCUCCUGAAAAAUGGGAUUUUACUUUCUGUUCAGGACCCUCUUGAAAAUGGGAUUUUACUUUAUGUUCAGGACCCUCCUGAAAAAUGGGAAUUUACUUUCAGUUCAGGAACCUCCUGAAAAAUGGGAUUUACUUUAUGUCCAGGACCCUCCUGAAAAAUGGGAAUUUACUUUCAGUUCAGGACCCUCCUGAAAAAAUGGAAUUUUACUUUAUGUUAGGACCCUCCUGAAAAAUGGGAUUAUACUUUCUGUUCAGGACCCUCCUGCAAAAUGGGAUUUUACUUUUUGUUCAGGGCCCUCCAGAAAAAUGGGACUUUACUUUAUGUUCAGGACCCUCCUGAAAAAUGGGAUUUUACUUUUUGUUCAAGGAUUUUACUUUAUGUUCAGGACCCUCCUGGAAAAUGGGACAACACUUUCAAAAUGAAAUACUACUUUAUUAUAAUUCUUGUUUGGGAUAAUUUUCGCUCUAGUUUUUAUUUUGGGUUUCAGAAGCCCGCCUGAAGAACAGGGUGAUGAAAUAGCAAGUCAGGAGCCCGCCUGAAGAACAGGGUGAUGAAAUAGCAAGUUAGGAGCCCACCUAGAGAAUAGGGUGAAGAAACGAAAAGUCAAGCAACAAAGUAAAGCAAUUGAAAGCCAAGCAACAAGUUGAAAGAAAUUGCAAGUCAGGAGCCCGCCUGAAGAAUAAGGUGAUGAAAGACGAGUCAAGAACCAAUAGAAGUUGUAUAAAUAGGAUUUUUGUGGUAAUUUUCAUUUUGAUGUAAUAACAGAGCCGCGGACCGGAACCUCGACGGAACCUCACUCGACUCUCCAACUCGGUAUAGUCCACUUCUCUUCCAAUCCUUUGAAAUACCCGUGACUUGAUUCUCUCAUAACUUGGGUAGGAAGGAUGUCUUAAGUCAAGACCCGGUUGUCCUUCUUCCUUCUGUUUCUUUCUUUGAAUAAUGGUUGGGUCAAAAUUUGAUCUCGCUGUCUACUUUUUUGCCUGAAAACACUUCGUGUUUACAUUCAAAGGGGGCAUGAUGUAGACACCUAAUUUCGUCCCUCCCAAAGACCCGAUUUACACAUUUUUAUCCCUGACUUACCGCAUACCCUCACCCACGUGAUUACAUCCCACAAAAAUACAAAAAAAAUAUAUAACAAAAUCCCUAACAAAACCUAUCCUAACUAAUUCUAUCUUAUCCUAACAACCUACCCAAUCAAAAUAAACCACCUCAUCACCCCACACCCUACCCCUUUACCCCUACCCGCGUGUACCCACUGCCCCACCCAUUCUCACAAGACACACUACAAAAAGAUAUCAUCUUCUCCAAAAAAAAAUACACUCACAGGACCAUCAGUAACCAAAAAAAAACACAGAGAGCACAUCUCAAAUUUUAUUCCCUUUCUGCUCCAAAAAACCGAACCCAUCCAUCAACGAAAAACUACCAUCAACAUAAAUAAACAACAAAAUCAGCAACCUCAAAAAAAUCCAAAUUCAAACCAGCGAAUCCGCGACCAUACCCGUCUUCAAUCUGACCCACGAACCCAGAAAUCAAACCCGAAUCCCACGUCAAAAACAACUCAGCUCCAAACCAACCCAACCCCCAACCUGUUUCUUUUCAUCUUCGUCAAUUGCCCCACGCAGAUAUGGAGAAGAUGCCAAGAAUUCUCCAGAAGCGCUUAGGUGUCUCUCUAAUGGUUUGAUUCCGCAAAUCUCGGGUGAAAGGUACGAUUACAGUUGGUCCUAAUCCCUUUUAUGAAAAUUUAAAAUUAUUCCCUUCCAAAAAGGUUUAAAAAAGGGGGCCUCUUGAAUCAUUCUCCCACAGGGGGAUUAGUUAGAAUUUUUCUCCAAUCUGGUUCUAUAGGAGGAGCUCAUUUUGAAAAAAAAAAAAAAGAGCCUGAGAGUCCAAAAGAGGAAAAAGCUGUCUUGAGCAAAUCAGUAAAAUCUUUCCUUUUGGUUAAAAGUUUUAUUUUCGUAAAAGUCGCCGAUUAAUUGGCAUUUUCGAGUAAACGACUAUGAUGUUCUGUGAUGGUUGUGGGUCUGACUAUAG
rnacentral:lncRNA from 1 species